rnacentral:rRNA from 1 species
GUGGGGAAUUUUGGACAAUGGGGGCAACCCUGAUCCAGCCAUGCCGCGUGCGGGAAGAAGGCCUUCGGGUUGUAAACCGCUUUUGUCAGGGACGAAAAGCUCCGGAGUAAUAUGCCGGAGUGCUGACGGUACCUGAAGAAUAAGCACCGGCUAACUACGUGCCAGCAGCCGCGGUAAUACGUAGGGUGCAAGCGUUAAUCGGAAUUACUGGGCGUAAAGCGUGCGCAGGCGGUUGGGUAAGACAGAUGUGAAAUCCCCGGGCUUAACCUGGGAACUGCAUUUGUGACUGUCCGACUGGAGUACGUCAGAGGGGGGUGGAAUUCCACGUGUAGCAGUGAAAUGCGUAGAUAUGUGGAAGAACACCGAUGGCGAAGGCAGCCCCCUGGGACGCAACUGACGCUCAUGCACGAAAGCGUGGGGAGCAAACAGGAUUAGAAACCCUAGUAGUCC